UACGAAGGGGGCUAGCGUUGCUCGGAAUUACUGGGCGUAAAGCGCACGUAGGCGGCUUUCUAAGUCGGGGGUGAAAUCCUGGAGCUCAACUCCAGAACUGCCUUCGAUACUGGAGAGCUUGAGUCCGGGAGAGGUGAGUGGAACUGCGAGUGUAGAGGUGAAAUUCGUAGAUAUUCGCAAGAACACCAGUGGCGAAAGGCGGCUCACUGGCUCGUUUCUGACGCUCAGGCGCGACAGCGUGGGGGAUCAAACAGG
rnacentral:rRNA from 1 species